rnacentral:lncRNA from 15 species
AUGCCUUUUUGCAAGCGGACGGUACUUCCGAAAGAUGUGUGCAAGCCCGACGGCAGGAGGCUGCUGCUGCUGGAGGCGCGUCCGCCGCAGGAGGAGCAGCAGCAGCAGCGGCGGCGGCAGCGGCGGCAGGCGGAGGUUUUCGGGGACUUGGUGGACGUGUGCGGCUUCACCCUGUGCUCGGUGCUCCGGCAGCUCUCGGAUCUGUCCCGGCACUCGGUGAGCAUCCUGGAGGAGCUGGAGGGGGAGCUGGUGUCCGUGUGCCACCGGUCCGGCGCGCUGGAGGGCAGAGUGGUCCGGCUGCAGAGGCACGUCGCGGAGCUGGUCAGCAAACCUCCACCGAGAAGAUGCUAUAACGUGCCUGCCUGACACAGAUGAUGGAUGGAUGAAUAAACACUUUUUUUUUGCUCCGGAGGGAAGCGAUGGAAAAGGCGGGAGGAAAGUGUAAAAGAGCCAGAGGGAUGAAGUUGAGAAGGUAGUAGAUGAAAGGAGGAUUUGGUGGGAGGUGUAACAACGAGUAGAGCAAGAGAAGAACAAAGAGGGGAGAGGAUGAUUAAAAUGUAAGAAAUGGAGAGGGACAGAAAGAUUGAGAGAUAUGGAAUAAUAUCCAAAUGUUCUCCCUCCCCAUGUGGUCUUCGUCGCCCUGCUCAAAUCUUUCCCCCGUGGGCCUCCCCCACCCCUCUGCAUACACCAUCACCACGACCACAUUAUCUGUCCCAAACCAGAGUUAUAUAACUAGAUUGGGGUUCUGAGCCAGACAUUUCCUUAUGUAACCCCACUCUCUCUCUCUCUCUCUCUCUCUCUCUCUCUCUCUCUCUCUCUCACCACCGUGUAACAACAGCUGAAUUUUUUUUCACUUCUGGUAAUAAUUGAAGGGUUUUAUAUCAGUUUCAAGUGGGGAAAAAGUUUUUGAUUAACUUAAGUAACUCUUUUUACAGACCAUAAAAAAUAUAUUUUAAUUUAAUUCUGGGGACUUCAUAACGCUUGUGUCAAGCGCAAAAUGUUAGUAAUGUUGUGUUGUAAACAAAGUUCAUAACUUCCUAGUUGUAAUUGUAAAUAGGAGAUAUGAGCCGAUCUAUACGAUGAGUCCUGGACAUGCCAAAAAAAACCAAACAACAAUAAUAUUCCGACUUGUUUUUCUCAAAAUAUUUAGACUUUAUUCUUCAAAUGUAAGGUUUCCUUCCACCCUAACAAUACAAUAAUAUUUGGUCGUAGCAAAGCCACCAUAACUGGCUGGUUCAGUGUCAGAAAUUAUUUGAAUAAAACAGCCAAUAUAGGCUAUAUUUACAUUGACAUACAUUGACAUACGACUGUAUGAAAAUAAGGCAUCUAACUCAAAGGUUAAGGAUGAUUUUAUUUAUAACAUAUAACACUUUUUAACUAUUAAUUACUAGUAGCAAUAUACUUUUAUUUGAGUUUCUUGUCUUAUUUGUUUGUUCAUUUAUCAAACUUUGUCGACCUUCUCUUCUCAGAACUCCACUCAGUCACAGUUUUACUGCAUUGGCACAUAAAGAUGAGUUUAAUUAAGUCUCCUGGUUGGACGUUGCUAGAUUUAAAUCAAAGUAUUGACAGAAAAGCUCUGUUUUUGCAGUGUUUCCCAGUAAGAAUUCAGAAUCUCACCAGAAGUCACCAGUGUCAAAAAACGAUGGCCUUCAUGGCCCAUGUGAAAUUCCUGCCCUGGUUGGGAUGCCCUUAAAUGUUUUUUUAAUUUUUGUUUUUUAAAUUUACAUUCACAUAUUAAUUUCCUGGUAUAGUGAAGUCAUGGUAGAGCCUUUUUUAUGUGUUGUUGUUGCCUCAGUGUUUGUGCGUUGAACAGUUUUUCAGCAUUUGGCAGCAUUGUGGGCAGCUGAGCAAAUGGGGAAGCCUGGGAAUGUUUUGGAUUAAGUUCUGCACACACAGACACACACAUAUACACACAUUGCUAUCUGUCAGAUGCGCACAGCUGUUCAUUCCUUACAUGACCAGUCAUCUCUGAUAUCAAACACACAUUGUGUUUGUUAGAAAAGAUAGUAUUUGCAUAUAAUUGUUUAAGAGACAGUUCCAGAUGUUUCCCAUGGAAAAGCUUGGGAAAGUUAAUCUAAUGGACUGCAUAUUUGGCAAAAAAAUCAUACUGUUACGGUAGUUGUAGUGGGUGUUAUAAAAGUUAUUUUACAAAGAAAUCUAUAGGAGAUUCACCUAAAAUACACAGAAGUCGAUACACACGACUAUAUUUAUGUCAACUUUUCACUUGUUUUUUUUAGUUAAAAGGUUUCUACCCAAUAGUUAAAAUAUAAUACACGUAUAACAUUAGAUCUAAUCAUCUAAUUUCAUGUAAUAUCGUAAUGUUAAAAUGUUCCAUCAGUGAAAAGCCGCGUUGUCUUGUGAGAUAAAGGAUUUAUCCGGUUCCAGACUGUGGUGAACAGAGCAACACUAAUAUAUUUUAAUGCCUCCCACAUUUUCUUAUCAAACUCCUUACAGUAAUCUGGCUCUGUGGGGUGUGGAUUAGCAGAUUAACAGACUCCCAAUAGUGCACAUACACACACGCACAUAGAAAUAUACACACACGUAAUUUAAACUUCCUUAAAGGCAGGCAUUAAAACAAGCUUAAGACUGCAGGUGACAGUAGUCGACUCCCAUCUCCCUGUCAGAAUAAGCAGAUAAGGGGGAAGAGGUUUGGACAAUAUGUCGUACUCGGGCGACAGGAUGAAGGAUUGACUUAAAGUCACCUCGACAGCCAAGAGAAUCGUGUUUGUCUUAAAAUCUGUGCAGAGAGAGUCACUGAAAACUGAUUGCUGUCGAAUUAACUGACGUACGUGAAGCAAGAAACAAAACAUGGCGGCAGAUACAUGAAACAAACCCUACUGUUUGAGGUCUGUCUGGUGUACCCUCUUCUGCAACACCGCCUGAUUGGAGGAUUAACCUGCUCCUCUUGAUGAACUAACUCCAAAUGUUCAUAUAACAUUAGUGUAGAUGGAUGAAAAUGUGCAUAAAUUCACAAUUUUGUCUGCCGACUUCCUGAAAAUUUGGUUAAAAUGUAUGCUGCAUUUGAAUAGAAACCUGGUUACGGUGUGUAUACAAUAUAGUGUACAUUAACACAUUAUGCUAGCAUGACAUUCAUGCAUUGAUGUUAAGGGGUCAGUAGGCUAUACUCAGAAGGAGGGAUGAAUGCCUUCCCAACCUUUCUGUAACUUUCAAAACUGAAUUGAAUUGAACUUAAUUUUUUUUACAUGUGAACAACCAAGUGCAACACUGAGACUGUCUGAAAAUGUGCUCCAUUAUCCCCGAUAAUGCGAGGAGUCUCAUCUGUGGUUAAGAGACGCUGUCGCUCUUGAGUCAAUAUGGCGGCAUCAAAGCUGUAAAUCGCAGAUAAAGUGUGUCUGUAGUCUCUCUGUCACGCUUUGACAGCUUUUUCUCCUCGAUAUCCAUCCACAGUGUUUUUCUUGCUUUCUCUUGAGCCCCCGUAUGAGCAAGACUAAUAUCAGCAGGGGAUGUCACAUAGCUUGUUCUACUUCAGGGAGUCGUUGAUGAUUUCAACAGCUUACAGCUCUGCCAUGUGUUUAGUUUGUAAAAAUUGGUGAAGACAGAGAUCCCAUGAGUAUACAGCUCCUGUGAGAAUUAAACACUCUGAAAUGUCUUUGCUUCUUCUCCCAAAUGUGGGACUUUCGUCUUUCUACAUUUCUAAUGAUACCAGUUGAAACUUAGACAUUUUUCUAGGUUAAUGUGUGAAUGUUUAUACAUUUCUGAAAGUAGUGAAAAAUGUUCAUAAUUUUCUAACCUUUGUGGAAACUGAACUUUUCAGGCGAGUCCAUAAAUCCAAAGAUAUUUAAUUUACCAUCAUAUAUGGUGGUGGAAAGCAUCAAAUCCUCAUAUUUUAGGACCUGAAAUAUACUUUAAAACCAACUGAAAUUAUUAUUUGAUCAUCAAAAUAGUUGCCAAUUAAUUUUCUGUUGAUCGAGUAAUCAGUUCAUCAACUCAUUGUUCCAGCUCUAAUGUAGAGGAAGGCUUUGGUGCAUUUUUUUGUAUUUUUCUGAGCAAGAAAGUGUAAAUUAAAACCUCUCAGGUGAGUAGAAAUACAGUCAGACUGAUUUUCUCCACACACAGAAGUUAGGACUAUUUUUGUUUACAACUUGAGGUUUUUUUAAUUCCCAUACAGGUGAGUAACAAAAGGGAAAACCAACAUUAAGUGUCUUAGUAUAACAGCUUCAAUGCUCCAAAGAGAGAGCUGAACACUAUUCUUCCAAAAGGCACGAAUUGGCCAACUUUUAAUUCUCUACUGCAGGAAAAACCCUGGAAGUCUACAGCAAAUGAUUCACAUAAUUGUCAUACUUAAACAAAUCAUUCAGAGUUCUUGGCAGGAAGUCAAAAACAAUCUGAGUGGAAGCAGACCUGUGGGGAAUGUGCAGUAUGGUUGGCUCAGGGUUGAAUCUCUGCUUUUUUGCCGACGAUGUGGUUCUUUUGGCAUCUUAAACUUGUGACCUCCAGCUUGCACUUGGACGGUUUGUUGGAAUGAGAGUCAGCAAAUCAAAGUCUGAAGCCAAGGAUUGCUUCCUUUUGGGUUGAGAGUGACUUGCUGUCCAUACAAGUGGAUUCGGGCUCAUCCUUCGUGAUCGGAGGGGGGAAGAGCUCAAACAUCCGAAGGGAGCUCUGGGUAGAAUCUCUGCCUUCUACGUUCUUUAGAGGUAUUUUGGGCCACAUUCGACUGGGUUGACGCAGGGCAUUUUGUGGAGUCCAGCGUGGCCUGGGAACAACUUGGCAUCCUCCAGGAAGAACUGGAGGUCGUGGUUAGAGGGAGAAGGACAUCCUUGCUUAGCCAUUUGUUAUGUUUCUCCAUUCAUUAUAUACUGUAUGUAUUCUCAGUGUCUGGUCCUACCGUGUAGACCUCGCCUCAGGUGUGUUCCCUCCUCUUCAGUCCUUCUGUUGUCGCCUCGAUACUAUCUUCAGCAUUUGGCCUCGGGUCACUGACAAAUGGACAAGCCUGGGAUUAAGUUGUAUUCACACACACACACACACACACACACGCAAACACUUAUACUCACUCACAUACACAGUGCAGUUUAUGGUGAGUCCUCUUUGAUAAGACGCACACUGGGUUCCCUAAGAAUGUGAAUUGAAAUUAAACAUUUGCUUAUAAGUAAUACAAU